rnacentral:misc_RNA from 1 species
GAUGAAGAACGCAGCGAAAUGCGAUAAGUAAUGUGAAUUGCAGAAUUCAGUGAAUCAUCGAAUCUUUGAACGCACAUUGCGCCCGUCAGUAUUCUGGCGGGCAUGCCUGUUCGAGCGUCAUUACGCCCCUCAAGUCCCCUGUGGACUUGGUGUUGGGGAUCGGCGAGGCUGGUUUUCCAGCACAGCCGUCCCUUAAAUUAACUGGCGGUCUCGCCGUGGCCCUCCUCUGCGCAGUAGUAAAACACUCGCAACAGGAGCCCGGCGCGGUCCACUGCCGUAAAACCGCCCAACUUUUUAUAGUUGACCUCGAAUCAGGUAGGACUACCCGCUGAACUUAAGCAUAUCAAUAAGCGGAGGA